rnacentral:lncRNA from 1 species
GUCUAAAAGCACGAAAGAAAUGGUGCCUGCACACAGGCACUUCCCCUCAAAAGAAGCAGUCUGCAGAGCAGGGGGAGACAAAGGGACAAUUCGGAACAAACAAGCUCUCUAUAAACAGAUACUCUCCAAUUAAACGAUAAGAUAGUGAAUGGGUCUCCUUUAACAGAAAAACACUAAAAGUCCUGUGCUUGGCAGAUUCAGUGAAUCAGCGAAUUGUUUCUGCAGCCAUCUGAGGAAUCUGGGUGUGACGGUAAAAAAAUGUCCACUUCACAGUUGUGGAAGCAGAGGCUUGCAAAAGCCCAGAUAACAGAAGUCUAACCAGUCAGCCGAACGCCCGUGGUUCCAUCUGGCAAUCUUCUUUCAAACCAGGUAUCAACAUGAAGUUAUUGUAGUAUUUGUGAAAUAAUCUCACAGCAUCGUUUCUACAUUUACAAAAAAACUGAGGACAACAGUCACAUUAUUGUUUGGAUGUGAAAAGCUCCCCCAACCCCACCUCUGCUCACGUUUUUUUUGAACUUUUGGUCCCCAGAUGGUGGCGCUGUCCCGGGAGGUUGUGACACCGGAAGAUAAGCCCUCUCGGUCUCUGUUCUUGGAAAGGUUAUACAGAGGCAUGCAUUGCUGUUGACCCUUCGAUUCACUUCCACACAUGCACGUGCUCAUGUGCACGCUACAUAGAGUUCUCUAACAGAUCAGCGGUUCGACAUGGAGGUGAUUAUACUGAGGAAGAGGUAGCAAACACUUGGCUGUGAAGAGCGAGAGCCGUGCCCUGGCACAGCCCGUGUCUGCUGAGUGUCAUCACUCUUGCCGCUCAUCGCCCAGAGUCUGGUUUCUCAUCAUUUAAUUCUGCGAUGAUUAUGUAACAAGGAACAGUUACUCUGUUUACCC